GACGAACGCUGGCGGCGUGCUUAACACAUGCAAGUCGAGCGGAAAGGCCCUUCGGGGUACUCGAGCGGCGAACGGGUGAGUAACACGUGAGUAAUCUGCCCUUCACUCAGGGAUAACCGCGGGAAGCUGCGGCUAAUACUUGAUAUGACCACGUCUCGCACGGGGUGUGGUGGCAAGCGUUUAGUGGUGAGGGAUGUGCUCGCGGCCUAUCAGCUUGUUGGUAAGGUAGUGGCUCACCAAGGCUUCGACGGGUAGCCGGUCUGAGAGGGUGGCCGGCCACACUGGGACUGAGACACGGCCCAGACUCCUACGGGAGGCAGCAGUGGGGAAUAUUGGACAAUGGGCGAAAGCCUGAUCCAGCAACGCCGCGUGAGGGAUGACGGCCUUCGGGUUGUAAACCUCUUUCACCUCUGACGAAGCGCAAGUGACGGUAAGGGGAGAAGAAGGACCGGCCAACUACGUGCCAGCCGCCGCUGUAAGAC
rnacentral:rRNA from 1 species